CUUCCACGCCCAAUCUCUUCCCCCUCUCUCUUUUCUUCCCAUUUUCUCUCUCUCGGCUCCACUGCUCUAGCCGACCCUCUCAUUUCUCCCUCUCUUUCCCUCUUCCCGCACAACAACCCGUGAGCCCACGAGCAACCGAACGUGAACUGGGUUCGGUGGGUCUACCCAUUUUCUCCGGUGGUUUUCUGCAGAAAUUCGUCGAUGAUGUUCCUCUGGCUGCAGGUACUCCGGUCGUAGUGAUGAUGUUGCACGUAGGAUAUUAUAACCGAAGCUCGCAGCGACGGUCGUAAUUGCAGGACCAUGGGUGUCUUCAGUUUUAUAGGUUUUGUUAUGGCUUGUGACGCUUGUGUCACCUAAUCUAUGUCAAGCCAUUUCUGUUAUGUAUUUGUUAUAUUGAGGAAAGACUUAAACAGAUAGAUGUUAAAUGACUCUUGUUGUAAUUAAUUGGUGAUAGAUGUUUGAGAUAUGAUUUCCGCUAUUAGAUUUA